rnacentral:rRNA from 1 species
GAUCCUGGCUCAGGAUGAACGCUAGCGGCAGGCUUAACACAUGCAAGUCGAGGGGCAGCACGGUAGCAAUACUGGUGGCGACCGGCAAACGGGUGCGGAACACGUACAGAACCUACCUUGAUCUGGGGCAUAGCCCGGAGAAAUCCGGAUUAACUCCCCAUAACAUAGAUGAGUGGCAUCACUUGACUAUUAAAAAUUUAUUGGAUCGAGAUGGCUGUGCGUCCCAUUAGCUAGUUGGUAGGGUAACGGCCUACCAAGGCGACGAUGGGUAGCUGGUGUGAGAGCACGACCAGCCACACGGGCACUGAGACACGGGCCCGACUCCUACGGGAGGCAGCAGUGAGGAAUAUUGGUCAAUGGACGCAAGUCUGAACCAGCCAUGCCGCGUGAAGGAUGAAGGCCUUCUGGGUUGUAAACUUCUUUUACCUGGGAAGAAACCUCCGAUUUCUAUUGGAGUUGACGGUACCAGAGGAAUAAGCACCGGCUAACUCCGUG